rnacentral:rRNA from 1 species
GCUUGUCUCAAAGAUUAAGCCAUGCAUGUCUAAGUAUAAGCACUUAUACCGUGAAACUGCGAAUGGCUCAUUAUAUCAGUUAUAGUUUAUUUGAUAGUUCCUACUACUUGGAUAACCGUAGUAAUUCUAGAGCUAAUACAUGCGACAACCCCUGACUGCUUGCAGAAAGGGCGUAUUUAUUAGAUACAACCAACCCUUCGGGUCCCUGGUGAAUCAUAAUAACUUCGCAAAUCGCAGUAAUACUGCGAUAAAUCAUUCAAGUUUCUGCCCUAUCAUGCUCUCGAUGGUAGUGUAUUGGACUACCAUGGCUCUCACGGGUAACGGGGAAUUAGGGUUCGAUUCCGGAGAAGGAGCCUGAGAAACGGCUACUACAUCUAAGGAAGGCAGCAGG